rnacentral:lncRNA from 1 species
AGGUGCUUCUGGAAAGCCCCUGCCCUUGCUCAGCACAUGGUCAUGUCCGCACCGUGUCUCUGCCCGGAGUGGAGUACUCUCUAACACAAUUGUACCAGAGAUUUUCAAGUUCAGCUCUCAUGCUGAGCUGGUGUCAAGCAAUUUCCAGGCUCCUUCCUGUCUUCCUCCUCAUUCCAUAAAGCCCCUGAUAAUGGAAAGAAGGGAGAAACAAAGACACCUAGAAGAAACUGGCUUUUGUCACAUUUAAGUCAUAACAACCAAGCCAGUGGGGCAGGAAGCUCUCUGCUUUGUGGUUGUUUUAUUCAAGCCAUGUAUGAAGUUUCUUUCUGUUAUAAAGGUACGUGUGUGGUUUUUUCCUUGAGUAACAGCAGCUCGAGAACUUCAGAGUCAGUAUAAGUGCUGUUCUCAUCGCCAGAAUCACACAUCUGACGGUGAUAGGCUCAGAGUGAAGGGCCUCCUCUGUGGGAGGCAGACUGUGCUCUCUUCUAGUUAUUGAAUAAAGUUUCACAGAGUGGAGGUAAUAAUCCCUUAGCCCUCUUUACCUAGUUUCUAAAGAAAUACUUGGUCACUUUCUGUUCCUUUUAGUUGUAAACAUUUUCUUAUUCAUAAAAUGCUCAGUUGUCACGUAAAGAAGAGGGGAAGUUGGGUCCUUGCACUCGGCGUAGAGUGUCUUUCACGAGCGGACCCUUUUGUCCAGUGUGCCCUGGGUCUCUUUCUUUCUGAAAUAGGUGUCCUGCUUCCUAGGAGCCCUUUACUCCUUGGCCGCGGGACAACUGGUGACCCUUGAUCUGUGGUGUGUUUGGGAAAACGUACAUUGGCUUUAAACGAGAGACAAUACUUAAUUGUUGUUUAAGCAAUUGGUUUAAAUUGUUUACACAUGGCUUCCUGUUUAUUUACAAAUGGCUUCCUGUUUGUUUACAAAUGGCUCCAGGCGUGCCAUGUUGGAAAGGAGCCCUGCUUCCUCCACUACAGGACGGGUCUGGCGGUUUCCAGCAGGCACUGGUCUCUCCUCUGACCUCGUCAUUGGCAGCUGGCACUUGCCAGAAGGGAAGCAUUGGUUAAAGAAAAGUCAAUCCCAGUCACUGCUCUGCAGGGAACAGGGUCAUACAUGUCCUCUGCAGCCCCGUUUCCAAGCACCGAGGUGGCGUUUUUAUUCGUUCAACUACCAUUUGUUGAAAACCUACUAUGUUCUACAUAUUGUGCCAGAAGCUGAGGAUACAGAAAUAAAACCCAAACUGUUGCCAUGCUUAAUUCACAUUCAUUCAUAA